CAAUAGCGUAUAUUAAAGUUGUUGCAGUUAAAAAGCUCGUAGUUGGAUUUGUGGCGUACGGUGUGUUCCGGGCACUUGUUGUCUGAGUAACCUGCGGUUGCCAUCCUUGGGUGGAACCUGUGUGGCGUUAGGUUGUCGUGCAGGGGAUGCCCAUCAUUUACUGUGAAAAAAUUAGAGUGUUCAAAGCAGGCUUAUGCCGUUGAAUAUAUUAGCAUGGAAUAAUGAGAUAGGACUUUUUUGCUAUUUUGUUGGUUUGCGCAAGAAGGUAAUGAUUAAUAGGGACAGUUGGGGGUAUUCGUAUUCCAUUGUCAGAGGUGAAAUUCUUGGAUUUUUGGAAGACGAACUACUGCGAAAGCAUUUACCAAGGAUGUUUUCAUUAA
rnacentral:rRNA from 1 species